rnacentral:misc_RNA from 1 species
GAACCCUCAAGCUUAGCUUGGUGUUGGAUGAGGUCCCCAUUUAGGGGACCCUCCCGUAACCCGUAGGCGGUCACCGUCCGUACUCCCCCGGCGUAGCAGGCUCACGCACUCGCUCGGGGAUAGGGCGAGACCAUGCCUUUAUAAAACAACCCUUUCAAAAGGU